rnacentral:tRNA from 1 species
AGAACCCUAGUAAAUCAUUAUAUAGCCCUGUCAGCGCUAAGUUAUAGGCUAAACCCUAUGAGUUCUA